rnacentral:ncRNA from 1 species
UACGUGGUUGAUUCUGCCAGUAGUCAUAUGCUUGUCUCAAAGAUUAAGCCAUGCAUGUCUAAGUAUAAGCAAUUUAUACCGUGAAACUGCGAAUGGCUCAUUAAAUCAGUUAUCGUUUAUUUGAUAGUACCUUACUACUUGGAUAACCGUGGUAAUUCUAGAGCUAAUACAUGCUAAAAGCCCCGACUUCGGAAGGGGUGUAUUUAUUAGAUAAAAAACCAAUGCCCUCCGGGGCUCCUUGGUGAUUCAUAAUAACUUAACGAAUCGCAUGGCCUUGUGCCGGCGAUGGUUCAUUCAAAUUUCUGCCCUAUCAACUUUCGAUGGUAGUAUAUGGGACUACCAUGGUUUCAACGGGUAACGGGGAAUUAGGGUUCUAUUCCGGAGAGGGAGCCUGAGAAACGGCUACCACAUCCAAGGAAGGCAGCAGGCGCGCAAAUUACCCAAUCCCGACACGGGGAGGUAGUGACAAUAAAUACUGAUACAGGGGCUCUU